CCUACGGGGGGCAGCAGUGGGGAAUAUUGGACAAUGGGGGGAACCCUGAUCCAGCCAUGCCGCGUGUGUGAAGAAGGCCCUCGGGUUGUAAAGCACUUUCAGUGAGGAAGAACGCCUGGUGGUUAAUACCCAUCAGGAAAGACAUCACUCACAGAAGAAGCACCGGCUAACUCCGUGCCAGCAGCCGCGGUAAUACGGAGGGUGCGAGCGUUAAUCGGAAUUACUGGGCGUAAAGCGCGCGUAGGUGGCUUGAUAAGCCGGUUGUGAAAGCCCCGGGCUCAACCUGGGAACGACAUCCGGAACUGUCAAGCUAGAGUGCAGGAGAGGAAGGUAGAAUUCCCGGUGUAGCGGUGAAAUGCGUAGAGAUCGGGAGGAAUACCAGUGGCGAAGGCGGCCUUCUGGACUGACACUGACACUGAGGUGCGAAAGCGUGGGUAGCAAACAGGAUUAGAUACCCUAGUAGUC
rnacentral:rRNA from 1 species